AACUAACAUAAUCUGUUAGCUAAAUUGAUUUAACUUUAUUAAUUACCUGAGCUCCUUAAGGUAGCUGAGUGAACUCGUAAAUCAGUUUCAUUUUAAUUAUCAGAGUUGCUUGACUGGAUGUAAAGAAAAAUGUGUAUUGAACAUCUUAAGUAUUUUUUUUUUAGCUUUCCAACAUCCAUUUCAGAAAAACUACCUGUUAGGGCUAUCUUAGAUCUCUGGUUUAAAUAUCUACAUCCCUUUAAAUUGAUUUUUUGUUGUUUACAGAAAGAAAAAAAAAAAAGCCACAGAUUCCAUUAAAGUCCAUCUGAUCAAUCCAUGCAGAACGUUUGUUUUAAGAACAUGACAAGACAAUUACUCAUGAGCAUCUGAGAAACAGAAAAAUCAGUGACGUAGCUCAUCAGGCUCACAAUCCAUCAAAACUCAUAGGUUGCUCCCUGUGAAACAAUAAAUUUGAACUUGGUCUUGAGCCCAGUUUGGGGGAAGAUUAAAUUCUGACCAAUACUCUAGGAGCAGUAGUGAUUCUUGUGAAUUGUGGACAGCUGGUCAACAGAACCCUCACCAUGGCAUGAGCUUGUCAGACUUUCAAAAAAAAAAAAAAAAAAAACCUGCUGUGUUAAAAGUAACAACAUAAAGUCUGCAUUAAUGUAAUGUAUCAACGGGACACUUACUAUUUUAGAAAAGUUAUUCUUUUUUUUUUUUUUUUUUUUCCUCGCCUGUCCCAUUUGGUUCUUCAGCCAUCAGAAUUGUUGUCUGAAGACCAACAAGGAUACCCAAUGGAUUUACUUUGCCAAAUGGAUCAUCGUGGCAUUGCCGUAUUGGUCCAUUUGGUCGAUCUUUGUUUUUAUUAUAUUUUAUUUUCAGAUGUUACAGACGGGACAGACAUGAGUGAGGGAUAGGAAAGGGAGAAAGAAAGAGGAAGGAAAGGAAAAACAGAAGGGGAGAGGGACAGUGAGAAAGGGGGGGAGAAAAAAAAUAAAAAUCUCCUGGAUCACCUGUUGAGAGAAGAAUAGAAAACAAGCAGAAAAAAAAACAAAGCAACAUACUAAACACAACACCAUCGCAUUAAUCUAGCUAAGUGUAAACAGCAGUAAAUACUAAAUAUUCAAUGUUGUUGUGCAGCACGCAGGACAGAUGUGCUUCGAAGUAGCAGCCAAGAAAGGUGUAAUUUGGGUCUACGAGCAGUGAACACCCGUGUGCAUACCUGUGUGGAUCAGCGCGCUUGUAUUCCAAAGGUUUCUCCAUGUAAUGAUCUGCUAGGGAGUGUGGGGGGGGGCACAGCCCCGUCCUCCGGGGUGUGAAGCGGGUAUGGAGGAGAUCCAAACUCCAGACAUCCAGAGGCCCCCAGAACACAAGAGACCAUGGAAGACCAA
ensembl:lncRNA